rnacentral:tRNA from 1 species
AAAGACUUAAUUUAAUUUAAAAUAUUAACUUGUCAAGUUAAAAAUGAAACAUUUUCAGUCUUUA